AGCAUUUUAGUACUGGGGCCAUUUCGCCUGAGUCAUGGGUCAUGCACUUGCUUAGCUGAAGCUUUUCAGAAUUGAGCUGAGAGCUCCAAAACUUUAACUUAGGUGAUUAACUGGUUAAUGAUGAAAGAAUUUCUAGCUCAGUCAUUAAUUCUGUGUUCUGAGAGUGAUUGUUUCCUGGUUAGUUUGCAGAUUCCAGCUUGGGAUACCAGCUUCGGCUUUUUGCUAAUGUGUCUGGGUUCUUUGAUGUUUAAACCUUAAAUGUAAAAGGUAUUGCUGGAAUAAAAGUGAAGUCAUGAAUACAUAAUGGUGUGCGGUGUUUUUGUAAUAGGAUCACAGUAUUUCACUAUGGUGCAGAUCUCAAAGAAGUCUUUGUUGAAGAGAUGGCAACCACAUAGGGAAGGAAUGAAAUAUUUUUAAAUCAAGUGAAAGCAGCACAGGAUCGUGAGCAAGCAUGGGUUUAGCAAAACUUAAACACAGAUACAAAACAAUUAUUAUUUAUAGACAGCA